UACAGAGGUCUCAAGCGUUGUUCGGAUUCAUUGGGCGUAAAGGGUGCGUAGGCGGCGCGGUAAGUCGGAUGUGAAAUCUCCCGGCUCAACUGGGAGGGGUCAUUCGAUACUGGCGGGCUCGAGGCCGGUAGGGGGAAGCGGAAUUCCCGGUGUAGUGGUGGAAUGCGUAGAUAUCGGGAGGAACACCAGUGGCGAAGGCGGCUUCCUGGACCGGUUCUGACACUGAGGAGCGAAAGCGUGGGGAGCGAUCCGG
rnacentral:rRNA from 1 species